rnacentral:rRNA from 1 species
CCUACGUGAGGCUGCAGUGGGGAAUAUUGGGCAAUGGGCGCAAGCCUGACCCAGUAACGCCGCGUGAGGGAAGAAGGUUUUCGGAUUGUAAACCUCUGUCGCAAGGGACGAAACAAAUGACGGUACCUUGUGAGGAAGCCCCGGCUACCUACGUGCCAGCAGCCGCGGUACUACGUAGGGGGCGAGCGUUGUCCGGAAUUACUGGGCGUACAGGGUGCGUAGGCGGUUGUGUAAGUUGGAUGUGAAAUACCCGGGCUUAACGUGGGGGGUGCAUUGAAAACUGGGCAACUAGAGUUCAGGAGAGGGGAGCGGAAUUCCUAGUGUAGCGGUGAAAUGCGUAGAUAUUAGGAGGAACACCAGUGGCGAAGGCGGCUUUCUGGACUGACACUGACGCUGAGGCACGAAAGCGUGGGGAGCAAACA